GCUUGGAUGUGUUUCAGUCCAGAUGUUCCCACACAUCAGGACCAUUACAGCUGUCUGAUGGCCACCUGAGGCACCGACACUGUGCCCGCCUGGUUAACAGGCUGACUCCUCUGAACACAAGAUCAUUAGCCAGCUCUCUGCCCUGACAGGAUAACAAAAGGAUUUACAUUAACCUGCGUGCAGAAGCCGUAGGGGUCAUUUGAUUAACAGCAGCAGGUCUGUUAUCAGACACCUCUGAGAACAAACUAGUCACUGAGUCAGUCUGCAGGGAGACAUUUGUGAAAGGCUGCAUGUUAUCUGGUGAUGGACGGAGGGACAGAAAAAAAACACCUUGCUCCAUUAUCGGACACGCUCUCAAUGACAGGUGCGGUGAAGGAGAGAGAAGAGGUCCUCCUUCAUUCUCAGGUCACACAAACAGGAUGUGGACAACAAGUAAACGCCAGCAGCCAUCACAUGAUGCAUAUUCAACGUCUGUCAGUGAGAUGUGAGUCGUGACUGAGGGGGGAUCUGACUUGGCAAAGACUGCCUCUGUCACCACACAACACAAAAGGCAGUGAAGGAGAGAGACAGAGAGCACCGAGUGCAUGUACAGACAAAUACAGCCUGCAAAUGCAAGCAAGAUGGGAGAAAUAAGAGUCAAAAUGAAAAUGAGGAGGUAAUGGAGGAGGAAGUCAGAGAGGACAGGCCUGAGGAGAAGAGGUUAACGAACGGCGCUAAGAGGAGGAGGCAGGCGUCAUGGAUCAUUUGGAGUCCUGGUCCAUUUCAGGCUCUAAAGAGAAAACAAGUAACAAAUUUUUCUCACCAGUAAAGGUGAACUCAGGGAAGCUGCUAAGAUCUCCUCCUCCAUAAAGUCUCUGGAGCUUUGCGGUUUCCUGUGACAGGUGUUUUUCGUAAUCUGGCUCCGCCUCCAAAGGUUCUCUGUUUAUCCUUAGAGAAGAAAAGGUGAUAUGAGUUGGGGGGGAUUAAAAGAGAAAUCAUUGUCAUUCAGUAGAUGUCCCCAUGACAUUUUAUCUCAGCAUCACAGUUUACAACCAGUACCAGUAUAACCUGAGGGUUUGUUUGUUUCUGUCAUAGGUCAGGGUGCCCAUUAUGCAACUGCAGCUGUUCUUUUCACAGCUACUGUAUAUGUAGAUAGUGUGGAUAGAUUCUCUACUGAAUCUGUACAGAACCAGGAAAUCUCUUGUGUUACAUUAUCUCUGUUACAAGCCAGAUCUGCCUUCAGCAAAACAUAAAUAAGGAACAAGGCCACAUGAGUCUGCUUUUAAUAUCUGCAUUCAACACAAUAAAAUGUAACCUGAAGGACGUGA